UAGGGAAUAUUGGUUAAUCUGCGAAAGCGGGAACCAGCAACGCCGCGUGCACGAUGAAGGCCUUCGGGUUGUAAAGUGCUUUUUGAGAGGAUGAGGAAGGACAGUACUCUUAGAAUAAGCUUCGGCUAACUACGUGCCAGCAGCCGCGGUAAAACGUAGGAAGCGAGCGUUAUCCGGAUUUACUGGGCGUAAAGCGUGUGUAGGCGGUUUGAUAAGUUGGAUGUGAAAGCUCCUGGCUUAACUGGGAGAGGUCGUUCAAAACUAUCAGACUUGAGAGUGGUAGAGGGAGGUGGAAUUCCGGGUGUAGUGGUGAAAUGCGUAGAUAUCCGGAGGAACACCAGUGGCGAAAGCGGCCUCCUGGCCCAUUUCUGACGCUCAGACACGAAAGCUAAGGUAGCAAACG
rnacentral:rRNA from 1 species